GGGCUCUUAGCUCAGGAGUAGAGCGCCUCGUUCGCAACGAGGAGGCCGCGGGUGCGAAUCCCGCAGGGUCCA
rnacentral:tRNA from 1 species